GCCCGCAUGGGCGUCCGCCCGGGCCUAGGCGUCCGCCCCGGCCUGAGGGCGGGACCCCGGCUGCCACCACCUCCGCAGCGGCCCCGGGAGGACCCUGGUGCCCACUCCCCGCGCCGCGUCGGAAGCGCGUUCUCGGUCCUCCUGCUCCGCCCCCCAUUCGGCCCCCCGCUUCUCUGCCCCGCGGGCCCGAGCCCUGCUCCCGGGACAAGAACACCUGACCGAGGCCAUGUGUAGACUAGAGUCCUCUGAGCAGCCUGGCCUCUACCUUCCCGCCCCCAUACCUGAGGGCGAGUCUUCUCUAGCCAGGACUCCUGGGCCUGUGUCUGGAGACCUGGAACACACCUCUCACUGCUGUCCUAGGACCCCUGGUCAGUGGGGUCACCGAGGAUGCUCUUCCUCUUACAAGCCUGUACAGUUCUUCUUUGGAGACCAAGACAUGGCCCUGGCACAGGGCGGGACGCCUGUCCCUGGAGGAACGGCUGCAGCGUCUCAGGGCGGAAGAGGAAGGACACGCCACCAGUGGGGGCGCAGGCUCAGGGAGGGGAAGGUAGGUGGG